CUCCAACUGACUAAUCCCAAAUGGGACGAAACGCGCGUCCUGGAU
rfam:Schistosoma mansoni, Puerto Rico, WGS project CABG01000000 data, contig: 0010